rnacentral:lncRNA from 1 species
AUGCUGUUUCUGCCCAAAUCUCCUAGACUCUGUGCCUUUAACGGCCACCUUGUGGCCAGAGUCAGCCUACUGAACAUCUCCAGAUGGUACUCAGUGGAGGGAGGUAGACAGGUCUUGGAUCACAAAGAGUCACAAGCAAUCAAAGAGCUACCUGGCACCCCAACAUGGCAGCCUUCUGCAACCUGGUGCCCUCCAGCUGCUUCAGACGACAAUGAGUUAUAGUCCAAAACAGCUUGAAGGCACCAGGUUGAGCAAGACUGCUCUAUGGCAUUGGUCUUCAACUGGUGGGCCAGGUCCCUACUAUUGGGUCACAGCUUGUCUAAGGUGGAUGGCAAGAACAGCAGAACUCAUACCAUGCAGAUGGUAAAAUUGAGAAUUAGUCCAUAAAUGCCUGUUUGCCUUAAAGGUGCGUCCCAGGUCAGGAAUAGAUUUGCUCUGUGAUGGUGGAGCACACUUUUUGGUUCAAAUGCUGCAAAAUCUCCCGUUUAAAUAACAGCCACCUAGCUUUUGAAAAAAGGGACGCAGGUGGCGCUGUGGGUUAAACCACAGAGCCUAGGGCUUGCUGAUCAGAAGGUCGGCGGUUCGAAUCCCCGCAACGGGGUGAGCUCCCGUUGCUCGGUCCCUGCUCCUGCCAACCUAGCAGGUCAAAAGUACGUCAAAGCACAAGUAGAUAAAUAGGUACCGCUCCAGCAGGAAGGUAAACGGCGUUUCCGUGCGCUGCUCUGGUUCGCCAGAAAGCAGCUUAGUCAUGCUGGCCACAUGACCCGGAAGCUGUACGCCGGCUCCUUGGCUAAUAAAGCGAGAUGAGUGCUGCAACCCCAGAGUCGGCCACGACUGGACCUCUAAUGGUCAGGGGUCCCUUUACCUAGCUUUUGAAAUCUUCACAGACUCUCAUGUUUCCAUUGGAAACACACUCAGAAAUAUGUGAGAGGUCACCCCUGACCAGAGCCCGCCUCCUUCUGUUUCAAAGUGUUUCUCUAUCAUCCAUCCCUGCUGGGGGCUGGGGUGGUUCUGAGGUUGCCUUUGCCAAGGCCUGUUAGCAAAUACACAAACAGCCUUGACCAGAAUGUUCACUUGCAUGUCAAAUGCCUCUGCAAAGCUUUCUCUCUCGCACGAGCAACCGUCAAUCAGUCAUUAACCAAGAGACGGUCAUUUCCAUCUCAUGGUUCAACACAGCCACUCGCCUAAUUCCGGGGGAUCCAGAAUGAAAAGAAAUAAAUACCCCAGUUGUUUCUGAUAUCUGAAGCA